UUAAGAGAGUUUAUUGCAGGUGGAUGGUGGUGACAUGAGGAACCAGAGUUGUUACCAGACGGAGGUGAAUGAUGCAGGAGCUGACUGGCAGGUACAGAGUCCACGAGACAGAGAGGAGUUGGGCUGCUGCAGGACCAGGGACGAGACCAGGACGAAGACGAAGAGACUGAAGCCAGCAUCGCAGCCAAACAAAACCAAAACUUGACGAGCCGGGAACCAAGGCGGGGGAACAGGAGCAGACAGACACGAUGGAGAACAAUAAACACUACGAGCCAGUGACGAGGAAACAACUGAGGUAAGAAGGUGAGGACAGGGUAGCAGCCCCCUCUCCUCGAGGGCUCCAGCAAGAAGAAGCAGACAGAAAGCCACGUUUACGUAAGAGAGUUUAUUGACAAACGAUGAGUUAUGGAAGGAAGGACCGGAGAGUGUACUGGACUGGAGCUGGUGGAUGGUGACGACAGGAGCCGGCAGACGUGAAGGAGCUGGAGCAGGUGGACGUGAAGAAGCAGGGGCAGGCGGAUGUGAAGGAGCAGAAGCAGGUGGACGUGAGGCGAAGGAGACGGCAAGGCAAACGACAAGGGACGAAGGCCGGCAGAAGGACAAAGGACGAGGGAAGAAGCCCGACCUGGCGGGGAUGAGCAGUCUGAAGUGGGUUUAUGAAUAAAAACCCUAACGACUCCCCGUUACAGAGGAGUGGACCAGUUUUGGUUCAAUCUGCUGGCUUAAUGGCUUUAACAACCGCCCAUUACUAGGGAUGGGGAUCGUUAAUAUUUAUUGAUAUCGAUACCACUAUCGAUACUUUUCUGUUAUUUGGUGGAAAGAC